rnacentral:rRNA from 1 species
AACGAACGCUGGCGGCAUGCCUAACACAUGCAAGUCGAACGAGACCUUCGGGUCUAGUGGCGCACGGGUGCGUAACGCGUGGGAACCUGCCCUUAGGUUCGGAAUAACUCCCCUAAAGGGGUGCUAAUACCGGAUAAUGUCCUCGGACCAAAGAUUUAUCGCCUUUGGAUGGGCCCGCGUUGGAUUAGCUGGUUGGUAGGGUAAAAGCCUACCAAGGCGACGAUCCAUAGCUGGUCUGAGAGGAUGAUCAGCCACACUGGGACUGAGACACGGCCCAGACUCCUACGGGAGGCAGCAGUGGGGAAUAUUGGACAAUGGGCGAAAGCCUGAUCCAGCAAUGCCGCGUGAGUGAUGAAGGCCUUAGGGUUGUAAAGCUCUUUUACCCGGGAUGAUAAUGACAGUACCGGGAGAAUAAGCUCCGGCUAACUCCGUG